rnacentral:misc_RNA from 1 species
AGAUAUAUUUAUUGAAAAUCUCAUGGUAAAUUGUUGCUUCGCAGACACUCUCUUGUACAAACGAACACGUAUAAUCAACAAAAGCCAAAGCGACUAACAAAACAAAACAAAAAAAAACAGUGACAGUAAAGUCGGAUCCAGUCAAGUACUUACAUACCAGCAGUGCGUACAAUGAAAGUAAUAAUGGUCAACUCAUUCCGUUCAGCAAAAGCGAAGAGUUCACAAAGUUUAAAAAAGCUAAAAAGGUAUAAAGAAUGUUUAAGUGAAGUAUAAACCUAAGCAAAUUCAUACGCAACAAAGGGCAUUUCGGUGGUGAAACGCGCAUUUGGCUAACCGGAUGUCGUCCCUAUUGCAGCAGCAAUUGACUUUAGAAAAACGACUCAAAACAACAUCUCAUACGGCAGGUGCCGUGUUACCUCCCUCGCCGGCGCCAUCACCUUCAUCACUGCACGUGUCAAUUUCCGUCACCCCGGCCGCUACAACCAACACGUUAACAGGUACGCUGUCCAAUGUUUCUUCGCCUGCUAGUCCGGCGCCUUUAGAUCAGGAGCAGCUUUACGCUGAUACUGCGCCGAUGACCGCAGUGAAGACAUUGAAUAUUGGUGGGGCCGACUACGUUUCGCCAACUUCUGAUGGCAGGAAAAAUGCCAGUAACGGCAGCGGUGGAAAUUGUGAUACAGUCGACAACCAAUCUGUCCAUUCGACUGAUCAGGCACUGAUUUCGUUUCAGAAUGGAGCCGUCGUUCGAGCACUGCACACUGCUUUAAAUGACAUGAACACUAACCAUAAUGUUGCAACAACACUCUCACUGCCGCUGUCCCCGGUUGGAACUUCGAUCGCGGAAGUGGUGUCACCAGUGGCGCCCGGCUUGUAUGGUUGUGGAAGCGCUGCGGGUACAAAUAAAUCGGAGUUUGUUGAUAACAGCCUCACUUUUGCCUCGGAUGCGACAGAGGUACGUGACCAGCCGUUCGUGCAAUAUGGCAGAAUAUUGGAGAAAUAUCCCCAUAAACGGGAGUUCGCCGCUGAAUUAAUGCCUACUAAGCAGCACAUUAAGCAACAGCAGCGAAAGGCGGCGCACACUGAAAUGAAAACACGCAAUGAAUCUGAGUCCGCAGCAUCCCCUCUCGAAAGCCCUAACCUUGAUGUGAAAAGCGUUGGUGAAACUGAAGCUGCCGACGAUGAUAAGAUUCCUUCGAACACAAACACGUAUUUGCACAGCGAACUUUUGAAUGAUGCCCUACCGAAGGGUAUGCUAAACCAUUUGCCCUCAUUAUCAGAUCCAUGUUCAGACCCACGUUUGACGCAAACGCGAACUCCCUAUGGCUGCUCGAUCCCGCAGACGAAUAGUAAUCAGGCCGAUGACUCUGUUAGUCAGCACUUACCUUCGAAUGAUUUUAUGGAGCCCGCAACAGCAGCGAUAAUGGACAAAGAUCGUCAACUGCUGGCCCGGCUUUUCUCCACAGAUUUAGUUAUUCCAAAAUGUUACCAGCGUCGGAACGCGGACGCCCCUCGAGUCCUAUCAGACGUGAAUCUCUCUUUUUCGACCACGCCUGCAGAUGACACAGUUAGUAACGAAACAAAUAGCAGGCUUGAGCGCAAUAACGGCGGAUCAGACGGUGGGAUCCGUUUGGAAAAUCCUGUAACAUCUAGUGAAAUUUCGGCUUCAUUAAGCAGUUAUUUGCGACCCAUAGAGCCAACAACUGAGCUCUCGAAACAACCAUCGGUGUCCAGUGCAGCAUUUACGUUAUUAACGGAAAUACUUUUGAGGCACCACGACCAUCAGCAACUGCAGGUACUCUCGGCCGCAGCUAACGCGUCUGGUGUGGCGCCGAAUUUGCAAAUGGAUACCGCCUUCAACAAAAACAAAACGUCAGUAGCAGAACAGCCGCAGACGCAUCUUCAUGUGCAACCACUACCGAUACCCUUACAACUGCCGAUCCCUUUGUCUUUGUCUCUGCCACUACCGCUGCCGCUACUACCGAUCAUCAACACUAGUAGCAAUGCACAUGCACAGAACCCUUCCUACAAUCUUCCGCCAUUUCUGUAUGGCGGCAUCUCAGGCAGCGAAUGCAAAGAGCCUAUAUAUUUAAAGCAGCCUCUUCAACAAACGUUGCACGAACCACAAGCGUCUGAUGAACAAUUGCAAAAGCAACAGAGAUCGAGCCAGUUGUUAGCCACGCAAAUUUUAUGCUCACGGCUGCUGCGCGCCAAUGCGCCAGCGCUGUCAGAACACUUACGUGAACGCGAGCUACACUUUAUAGACUAUGCGUCAAGCGGCCCGAAAAUGGGCUUCCAACCAGACAGUGCGCUACCGAGGACGCACUAUAGCAACAACAAUCGGCAUCAUGUAGCGAAUAACAGCGAGGGAAACAACAAUAGUAACGCUUCCCAUCACACGAUGAACUGUGAUCAGCCAGAAAACAGACCAAAUCAUCACUCAGCGUCGUCAGAUUUACUCUCCGAAAUCGGUAGUGAUGAUCCCUACAAUCACACUGCGGCCACCUCAAAUAUAGCUACCGCCACUACCAGCACAAAACUAAGCUUCGAAGAGUUACUGUCUGCUCAAGAAGUGUCGCUAUCACAAGCUCAAAUGCACCUCGAUCAGUUUCUAGCACACAGCAUGAACUUUGUUGAGCUGACGGCGCCGAACUCCUCGACUUCUGUCAAGAGAUUGUCACGCGUCGUUCCGCUAGUCAAAGUGAAUAUGCAGCAACGGAAACAACUAAUCGACUGCAUUCAAGUACAGAUCAACCAAUUAAAGCGACAAUGCGCCAGUGCAAAGCUUUAUUAUGAACGCGGCAUGUGUCGACUGCAAUCAUCCGAAGCGCUAACGCAGCAGCGGCAAUGCCCGUCCAGUUUUGUGGCUCAUAAGAUUGCAACAUCAGCGGCAGUAGCAGCAAUGUCAGCAGCCGUCGAAACGCAUCCACUUCCGCCCCUCGCGUACAUCAAGACUGAGCUUAUGCACAAGGAAGACUGCGAAGGGGCUAACAGGGAGGCAGCAGAUGUCAAGGAAUAUAACAAACAGUCUAGCAUGAAGUUAGGACGCUCGUUGGUGGAAAUAGAGAACGAGAUAGAGCAAUACGUCCAAGCCUUAUGUAAAAAUAAUGGCAAUGACAGCGCAGUUGAGAAAGACAACCAUGAUACAGAAAGCAAAAACAAUUUGGAACUUGAUGAAGGUCUCACUUGCGGUGCCAACCACAAAGAGGACAAAGAGCUCGGGUACAGUAGUGGAAAAUGGCGCGAGGAAAUGAGCGGAAAUUCUAUACCAACUGGCGGGGAUGUCAGCAGAUGUCUCACACCAGCGUCACCCAUCUGUUUUUGGCACCCAGAAAAUCGCGGCCAUUGCGUGAAUGACAGCUCCUUAACCGUUGCCGAAAUAAUCCUGGAAUGUGCUGCUCUGACCGUACAAGCGAGCAUGCGCGAUUCCGGCUUUUCCGUGAAUUCUCUCUCCACGUCACGAAACUGUGCACAACCACAAAACCGCAAUGUAGAGUUAAAUUCAGCAGUUGGUGGACAGUCUCAACACUCCUUUGGGACUGCUCCCGCAGCAGGAAACUCAAACUCUGACUUAACAUCACAAUUUGAUUCCUGUAAUGUUGCCGAUGCCACUAAAGGCAACGCUGAAAAAAGUUUAUCUUCGCUGGUGUUGGGUAUGACGGCGCCAACGCCUGUUAUCUCACCAAUGCCCGUGAAUACAUCUACUUCCACACCGACGCUGGUAUCGUCGUCGACGCCAACCACUACGCCUACUCCUCCGCUGACUGCGAAUGGUUUAGCGGCGGCUGCAAAAAGUCGGCGCAAAUCAAACUAUGCGCACCGCAUUGAAACAAUUGGUACCCAACCUGCAGCGCCCAAACACGUCGCUAAAACUUACCGCUUCUAUGAACAACAAAAUUCGCAUAAUCUCAGACAGUGCUACAACAGUAACGGCAGUGGCAGUAGUACCUCUGUCAGAGAUGGAGCCAAUGACGGCAAAAACUAUCAGGAUGAGAAAUCCGGCAAGCAGCGUGAAGGCGGACUGACGAAUCAUUCUACAGAGGCGACGGCAGCAACGUCGGCAGCGUCCGAAGCGACCCUUGGCCACCAAAAUAGCCACCAGCAACAACAGUAUGCCCUCCAACAGCAGCAGGACCAUCAUCAUCAUCAAACUCAAUUUAAUGUUACCAACAACAGCAAAAAUAACAACAACUGCAGCAACAGUGCAUAUGGCAUACAUGCUGCAGGGAGCAAUACGCCAAACGUGAGUGCAACAGCUGCAGCCACGGUUGUGGCUCUUCAGGAGCGAGCCUUCACCGAUAUCUUCAAAGCGCGCUUCAACGCACUCACCGCAGCGGCUGUCAUGAAUGCCACCGUCGGUAUAUCAGCCGCCGCUGCCGCCGCUGCAGCAGCGAACACAACAACUGCGCCAGAUGGACCUUAUGACUUAAGCAUCAGCGGAAAAGUCAAGAAAACAAACUUGGAUACGAAAAUAUCCGCAGGCAAUCCCCAGGGAAACGAGUGCAAAGACAACUCUAACGAGAAGAAGAAACCGCAUAUCAAAAAGCCACUUAAUGCGUUCAUGCUCUACAUGAAGGAAAUGCGCGCCAAGGUGGUCGCCGAGUGUACAUUGAAAGAGUCAGCGGCGAUAAAUCAAAUACUUGGUCGAAGGUGGCAUGAGCUUAGCCGUGAGGAACAAAGUAAAUAUUACGAAAAAGCGCGGCAAGAGCGACAGUUGCACAUGGAAUUAUAUCCAGGGUGGAGCGCCCGGGACAACUACGGUUAUGUUUCGAAAAAGAAAAAGCGCAAAAAAGACCGAUCGCCCGCGGAUUCGGGAGGUAAUAAUAUGAAAAAGUGCCGUGCCCGCUUUGGCUUAGAUCAGCAGAACCAAUGGUGCAAACCCUGCAGGCGCAAAAAGAAAUGUAUUCGUUACAUGGAAGCGAUAAGCAGCGGCAGUGCCGGCAGUAGCAGCACUAAGGACGAUUGUUAUCAAGAAUUGGAUGACCUAGACGACCCUGAAAGCGAUGAUAAUUUGGGCAGUCCAGGCAGCGGUGAUGACAACAAUAAAACCCCGGAUGAUGACACAGAGUCGCUGAAUCAUUCGUUAUCUAGUCCAGGCUGCCUUAGCGGUUUGUCAAGUCUCCAGAGUCCGUCCACUAGCUUGGCGAGUCCAUUGAAUCUGCUCGCCAGUCCAGCAGCACCGGUUACAGUGGGCCUGACAUUCGGUCUCGGCGACCACCAGUAUCAGCAGCAGAAUGCGCAAUCCCAUCAACAAUUGCCGCAGCAUGCGUCGUCACUACAAGCGCAGCAGCAGUUGGUGCAGCCGAGCAGCAUUGUUGAUACGUCGGCGGCACAGCAGGCGCGAUUGUCUUGCCCACCGCAGCAACUGCAUCUGAAACAGCAUCCGCAGCAACAUUACCCGCUUGCGCAUACGGAACAGGCGCUCGCUAACAGCAGUGUUUUUGAACACUCGAAGGCAACAAAAUCGUUCUUCUGUGGUGGCGGCAUGGAAGGCGUAUGCGGCGGAGUUGACGAUACAUUAAUGUCGCCAGCUCUGUCAAAUAAUGGCGCCAGUGGCAUGGGUCUCGGUAAUAAUUUAACAAAUACCUCAUCCUCGACUGCUGCGGCUGCGGCGUCCGCCUUUACAGAACGCACAAUGCGUACACUACUGAAUCCUAGUCCGUCUACUUCGCUACUUCAUAGCAAUUGUUUUCCGCCAAGCAGCCUUGAAUCGAAAGGCGGCGCGAUCGUGUCCAUUGCUCAAAUGCUGUCUAAUACCACCAGCAAUGCAACGUCCAGCGUAAAUGCCAGAACUUCUAGAUCUACGUCAGUCAGCGUCGCUUCCAGCGACACUACAACUAACUACUCCACAACCGUUGAGACUGGAACGUCAAAUGGUUGCAAUUCCUACACCAGCAACUUAAGUACCACUGAGAACCCUAGCGAAUUGGGCAGUAAUGGUAAUUACGAGAGCAUUCAACUAGCGCCCGCUACUCAGUCGAAUGCAAACAAAUCCACUCCACUUAUCGAUGGCAAAUCCUCAUCCGCUUCAUCAGCGGCUUCUUCGCCAGCUGCCGACAACUUGGAAAAGUCAAAUGUUACACCAGCGCAUAGAAAUCCAAUCGGCGCAAAUCCACAUGACAUCAACAACCCACUAAGCAUCAAUCAGCUGACAAAAUGUAGUGAAAGUAUAAGCAAUAGUAGCAGUCACAAUAAGUCGCAAAGCAUCAGCGUCAAUGAGAACCUUAAUGUGGCAGGCACAGAGUGCUCAACAACAUUGUCCUCUAGCGUUAGCAAUGGUACCACACAGACAUAUAAAGUCAGUAGCCAUCAGAAGCAACUGGCCUCGCGCCUGCCAACAUCUGCGACUCCGCAUCAGCAGCUCUUGCCGCCAGCACCGCUACAAUAUCAGCAGCAAUUUCAUCUGUGCGGUUCGUCCGGUCCGCCACCCCCGCCACCGCCUAUGCAACAUCACACCACCCUCCACCAUGCGCACCACCACCAUCCCAAAGAGCAUUCACCGCUCUUUAAUCAGCACUUCCAGCAGUUUAGCCACCACCUGGCUUCCGUGGCGGCAGUAGCGGCGGCGGCAGCAGGCGUGCAUAUACCCAACAUAAUUGGCGCGGCGGCAGUUGCGAGCAUCAAUAACAGUAUACACCGCAGCGGCGGCUUAAGUGCAACGAAUGACUCAAACUUGCCGAGUGCGACCAACAUCUGCGGACCACCAGCCAACGCUUUGACUGCAACGCUCUCCUCUAUAACAACUACAACAGCAGCAGCAACUUCAACUACGUCGGCAGCGGAAGAAAUUACUACAGGCUGCAAUUCAGCAACCACAAACAGCAGCGUCUCCUUGACGCCGAUUAACCGGCGCACAGGGACGGCGACAGCAGCAGACUCUAGUGUCGCUAAUGUUGUUGUUAAUACGAGUACUCCUGGUGGGGAAAAAGGCGCUAUUAGCGUUACGUAACGGCAAGAACAACAAUUAGUGCCGCAGUCAAGCGAGAUCAAAUGCGAAGUGCUAAAUUCCAUCGAAAGAGUCAUCAACACCGGAAGCAACACAAUUUCAGUAGCAACCUCAAUGCUAUGCAUAGUAAUUUUUGGGUGUAAUUUUAACCCACAUUCACCAUAACCAUUUUUUUCGGAUUUGUAUAAAGCUUUUUGAUUCACGGAGUCAAUGGUUAUCAACUUAACUUAAAUUUCCCCAAAGCAGUAGAAAGACACAACCUUCGGCUUGAAAGUGGCUUAAGUCACUCAUACCUCUUGUGCUUAAAUGACCGGUUACUUGUAACCGGAUGCAUCUGUAAAUCUUUCUAUCGUCAUAAACUAAUGACACAACCUUUACCUUAUGUUGAUGAAGUUGGACGAAUAACCGACGCGUCCAGAUACAAGUAACCGGCCAUUUAAGUACAAGAGGUAAGAAGUGACUUAUGCCACUUUCAAAAUAAACGACUCACAUGUCUGGUGAAACUUAUAAGAUCGAAUAAAUUUUUUUAAUUUUAGGAACCGAAAAGCAAUAUUUAAUCGCAGUCGAACUUGUUUUUAGAAAACAACUUUUUUAUGAGAAUGAAAAAAAGGCAAUCAGAGCUGCAUUUUAUUUAGUUCGGACCAGUUCUCCUCUAAUUUUUGGAGUUCACCUUGAUGUUGUCACAUAAAGAAGAGGGUCAUACAGCCCUGCAAAAAGUGGGACUAGGUUAAAUACUAGUA